UGCGGCCAUGGGCUAGCUCAUGGCCACGCCUGUCCGAGGGUCGGCUUAUAAACUAUCACGACGCCCAAAAAGUCGUGGCUUGGGUCUUGCCAGCUGACGUGAUUUCCCUAUUUGUGCAAACGAACGGGGUGUCAGAUCUAUGGCGUUUCCCUAAUAAUUCCAGUUACAACUCCUUUUGGCUGAAGGCCAUAUUGGAGGGUGAUUGUGGAGUCGUGGCUCAAUGGUAAUGUUUGUGCGCGCUCUGCAUGUUCACCGCUGUAUCUGUCUAAUGUGAAAUGCUUUUCGCAUUUUACCUGACCUCGGAUCAGACGUGAAUACCCGCUGAACUUAAGCAUAUCACUAAGCGGAGGAAAAGAAACUAACAAGGAUUCCCUCAGUAACGGCGAGUGAACAGGGAAAAGCCCAGCACCGAAGCCUGUGGCCAUUUGGUCAUUAGGCAAUGUGGUGUUUAGGUCGUUCCGCAGAGGUUCUGCUCCACCCUAAGUCCAUCAAUGAGUACGGUAGUAUGGA
rnacentral:rRNA from 1 species